CGUUGGAUUUUUCCAUGAAGAUUAUACUGUUGACUUCCCAGCCUUAAAGAUUCUUGAGAUAGAAAACAGUCCAGACUUGAAGGUAUUCAUCCAUAAAUCUAUCGACAAAGAUAACCCUAUUGGUGGAGUUUUGUUCAACGAAAAGCCUUGAGUGGAGCCUGGAAAGAAGCAGAAAUGGCGAUAACUAGGUGCAGGCAAGGCAACCAAGAAGAGGAAUAAAUUAGGAGGAAUGGAAAGCUUAAAAACCCAAAACACUAACCUGUAAAUGACCAAAUCCGGGCACAGUGUGAUGAAGAAGAAGCUGUAAUCAGAAAAGGGGAAACCGAUUACAUGCAGAAUCAGCAGAGUGAAACAAAUCUGGAGGGGAUUAACUUACCAACAAGGAAAUCGGCAGAGGCUAAGAAGGAACAGAAGAGAAACGGGGAAGCAGAUGGGAGGGUAUAACAGGGAUGGUAAACCUAUGCGGUGCCUAAUCUGAGCAAAUGGGGUGUAUUAGAAAUCGGUGAAUUUCACCGAUUAGGUUAGUAUUGUAUUACAGGCGUAAUAGAAAAAUCAUGAACCAAACAACGGCAUAGAGGCGUCUUAAGUGGGCCCCACCGAUUAUAGCCAAUACACCCAACCAAACAUGUUCUAAAUGUGUGUUUCUAUAAUUUGUUCUGGAUUUAAAAUGA